GAUCGAGUUUGAUCCUGGCUCAGAUUGAACGCUGGCGGAAUGCUUUACACAUGCAAGUCGAACGGUAGAGGGGGCAACCCCUUGAGAGUGGCGAACGGGUGAGUAAUGUAUCGGAACGUGCCCGGUCGUGGGGGAUAACGUAGUGAAAAUUACGCUAAUACCGCAUACGAUCUAUGGAUGAAAGCGGGGGAUCGCAAGACCUCGCGCGAUUGGAGCGGCCGAUAUCAGAUUAGGUAGUUGGUAGGGUAAACGGCUCACCAAGCCAACGAUCUGUAGCUGGUCUGAGAGGACGACCAGCCACACUGGAACUGAGACACGGUCCAGACUCCGUACGGGA
rnacentral:rRNA from 1 species